GAUGAACGCUAGCGGCAGGCUUAAUACAUGCAAGUCGAGGGACAGCACAGGUAGCAAUACUGGGUGGUAACCGGCAAACGGGUGCGGAACACGUACACAACCUUCCUUUAAGUGGGGGAUAGCCCAGAGAAAUUUGGAUUAAUACCCCGUAAUAUAGUUGAAUGGCAUCAUUUGAUUAUUAUAGCUACGGCGCUUAAUGAUGGGUGUGCGGCUGAUUAGAUAGUUGGCGGGGUAACGGCCCACCAAGUCUACGAUCAGUAGCUGAUGUGAGAGCAUGAUCAGCCACACGGGCACUGGGACACGGGCCCGACUCCUACGGGAGGCAGCAGUAAGGAAUAUUGGUCAAUGGACGCAAGUCUGAACCAGCCAUGCCGCGUGAAGGAUUAAGGUCCUCUGGAUUGUAAACUUCUUUUAUUUGGGACGAAAAAGGGCCUUUCUAGGUCAACUGACGGUACCAGAUGAAUAAGCACCGGCUAACUCCGUGCCAGCAGCCGCGGUAACAC
rnacentral:rRNA from 1 species